rnacentral:rRNA from 1 species
AUAGGUGGGAGGCUUUGAAACCAGGACGCCAGUUUUGGCGGAGCCAUCCUUGGGAUACCACCCUUGUAGUACUGGGACUCUAACCAUAGGCCAUGAAUCUGGUCUUGGGACACUGUCAGGUGGGCAGCUUGACUGGGGCGGUCGCCUCCCAAAAGGUAACGGAGGCGCUCAAAGGUUCUCUCAGUACGGUCGGAAAUCGUACGUAGAG